rnacentral:rRNA from 1 species
UUCGAGUCUUGGACAGGCUCGGAGGCGCAAUGAAAGUGAAGGACGCAUUCUGUGCGUCUGCGUUGGGAUCCCGGGGCCUCGAGCUCCGGGCGCACCAACGGCCCGUCCCGUCCGCCUCGUCGGUGGGACGGAGCGAGAGCGUACACGUUGGGACCCGAAAGAUGGUGAACUAUGCCUGGGCAGGACGAGGCCAGAGGAAACUCUGGUGGAGGUCCGCAGCGAUUCUGACGUGCAAAUCGAUCGUCAGACCUUGGUAUAGGGGCGAAAGACUAAUCGAACCGUCUAGUAGCUGGUUCCCUCCGAAGUUUCCCUCAGGAUAGCUGGCGCUCGAGAGGAAUCAGUCUCAUCCGGUAAAGCGAAUGAUUAGAGGCCUUGGGGCCGAAACGACCUCAACCUAUUCUCAAACUUUCAAUGGGUGAGAAGUCCGGCUUACAUGACCGAAGCCCGGACGAACGGAUGUGAGUGCCCAGUGGGCCACUUUU